UCUGUGUUGUCUGUGUUUUUUGUUCACUCCCAUUUCACCCAAGCGAGUGGCUCACAAUGUCUGGUGCCCAACGUGGGACAUGCGUGAACUCACCAUGGGGCAGGAUCCCACAACCCUGAAGAAAUUGGAGAUAGGAUGCCAGGGGUGACUUGGGAUGCCAGAAGGGGGCCAACUUCGGUCUACUGCUGGUGGAACCGAAGAAAACAAACCAUGAAGCAAAACGCUCAAGUUAUGUCUGUCUUUCGACAUGUUCGAUCUCAGCCAUACAAUAUUUAAGGAAAGGAGGAGAUGAUGGGGACGGCCUUUGUCUUCUCACAUGUCUAAACGCAGAACGGGAAAGCACCUUCCCCCACGUCUGAAUGCAGUGUGGGGAGGCACCAGCUUGAGAACAACUGGUGCAGUCCUUGGAUGUUAUCUGCCCACUAAAGCAUAUCUUGUCCUCAAAAAUGAGCCAAGACGCCUCACGCUGAAAACAGGGAGACCUUGGGGACGUGUGAAAACACUGCCCCUGCUUACUGGGCAGAUUCUAAGAAAAUCAACAAGGUGCUCUGGCCUGUCCCCCCUGAGAAGGGAAAGAUGAGUAUAGCACUUGGCUGAGGUCCGAGAAAGGCAGUAUAAAAAUAAAGGAGCUGUGCCACAUCACGGCUGCAGCCAUUGUCUGUC